CCUACGGGUGGCAGCAGUGGGGAAUAUUGGACAAUGAGCGAAAGCCUGAUCCAGCCAUGCCGCGUGUGUGAAGAAGGCCUUCGGGUUGUAAAGCACUUUCAGUGGGGAAGAAAGCCUUGGGGCUAAUACCCUCGAGGAAGGACAUCACCCACAGAAGAAGCACCGGCUAACUCCGUGCCAGCAGCCGCGGUAAUACGGAGGGUGCGAGCGUUAAUCGGAAUUACUGGGCGUAAAGCGCGCGUAGGCGGUCUGAUAAGCCGGUUGUGAAAGCCCCGGGCUCAACCUGGGAACGGCAUCCGGAACUGUCAGGCUAGAGUGCAGGAGAGGAAGGUAGAAUUCCCGGUGUAGCGGUGAAAUGCGUAGAGAUCGGGAGGAAUACCAGUGGCGAAGGCGGCCUUCUGGACUGACACUGACGCUGAGGUGCGAAAGCGUGGGUAGCAAACAGGAUUAGAUACCCGUGUAGUC
rnacentral:rRNA from 1 species